CAGGGGCUGAGGUACGGGACUCGGCUGCGGCCGCCGGGAGAUGGACGGGAGAGGUGGUGGACGCGGAGAGGGAACGGCUAACUCCUCUCUGCGCUGCGGGUAGUUGGUUUGGUCACCUCGCGUCAGUUUGCAUCCUACUGUGACAGGAGUAAAUGCUUUUCUGAAAAGAUUCUUAGCAGUAACGGAGGCUUUUGAUUAUGGGGACUGUCUGCCCUGCUAUCUGAAUGAAUUCCCAGGUUUGGCUGGGACCUUUAAGCAUUAUGAAACAAGAAUGAAAUGUCAGGCUCAGGCCUUCCUGAAUCACGGGUAAUUCUCUAAAUUAAAAGACAAGCAGAAAAGGGCCUCAACAUCAGUUCUAAUUUUCAGGUUAGAUGAUAACUUGUCUUCAGAAAAGAUCAAUUUUACUUUGUUUUACUUACUGGUUCUAAAAGCAUUAAUUAAUUCUUUUCACGUGGAAGAAAUGGCAAAUCUUUUGAAGUCUGAUGCAUCUGAAAAAAAAGAUUUUAUUUCUGUGCUUUGUGUAUACUAUUUAUUCAUUUUAAUUAUUAAGAAAAUUUGAAGCAGAUUGACUUGAAUUAUACGGCAAAAAUAGUCCCAUUGAAAUGAGAAAGAGUACUUUGGGAAUCUUGGGAUGGAUAAGGGUAUUGGUAUGGCCCAAAUAGUCUGUCUUCAACAAUUUUAUUUUUCUUUCUCAUCUUAAUGAAGGAAUUUUUGUGCAACUGAUUCUAAGGUAUGCCAGGUAGGUCUUGAAAAGGGUAGAAAUCUUUUAAGGAUACGGAGGUGAAAAAUGUAUACGCCUUCCUGUCUCUGCAAAUAUACUAGUUUCAUAUUUACUUAAUUAUUUUGAUGUUUCCAUUAAUGUCUAUGCUUUAGGUCUCCAGGUGCAUUACAGAAGUUUAAAAUCAGAAAUCACACAGUGUGUCCCAUCUCGGUAUACUGGAAAGAAUGAAAAAUUAUCUAGCCAAGCGUAACAUCUAGAGGGCAAUCUCAUACUCCAGCAGUGUGACUAUAAAUCUAGCAGUCAGAACAGUUCUGGCUGUGUAAAUUGCAUUGUUUUAAAGUAAAGGGGUUUAAGUAAGCUAUGAAACUAUUGUAUUGCUGCAUUUUUUACAGUUACCCUGUCUUCUUUAUCUUGGGUUAUGUAAUUUUUCAAUUUACAUAGACGCUGCUCAUUUAUUGAUAACAAGAACUUUGCAUUAGCAUAUCUUAUUCUCUCUUUACUGGCAGUUUUUGGUCUUCUGGGAAGAUAAUGUUUGCAAUAAGUAUUUCAUAAUAUUCUGCCACAUGCCUAUCUUCAA